GGGUCCCUCCCACCGGCCGCAAAGCGAACCGGCCCGGGUUUUAGUGGCUGCGAGGUCCUCCCAGCCUACUCCACGGCCCCUCCUAGCGCGAGGCUCCUUCCGCCCCGGAACCUCCCCUGGCUCCCGCCUCCUGCGCGGCUACCCCUUUGCUGGGCAGAUGGCGUAGGACUUCCCGAUUGCAGCGGCCCGUCUCACCGCGAGUCCCAGCUGUCUCUUCCCCAGUCCCCAGCCUUUCAGCAGUCCCGAUAUUAGAGGAUUCCCAACAUUUCAGCUGUCUUCUGGACAACCUCUGGAGCUGCCACUGGCAACGCACAGCCACGCGGCCAAAGUGGAACCCAGCAUCGCUCAAACAAGUGCCUUCCUCCAGGAUUCGCAGUUUUUAACGGGAUACCACCAUCCACUCUGGUGUGCCCACACCAGAAAGUUGAGAAAAACCGUGAUUGGUGCCUCUGCUGAGCAUGGGACAAGAAGAGUUAACAUGCUGACAGAUGGCAUUUUUUACCUUCAGUCAAUAUGAACAAGGCCCCAAGACUAUGAUUCCAAACAUCUGGAUUUCAUCAAUAUGUGAUCUGUCAUCGUAUAUUGGCAUUCCCCAGUCCCCGCGCCAGAGCAAUGCGGCUGGUUUUAUUAAUACGUCAAAUACAUUAUCCGUGUAAUACACUUGUCUGGCUGGGGCCUCCCGCUGGGGCGGGGCGGUGGAUUUGAAUGUAUGAUGAAUCAGUUUGCA